GAAAAUGUGCUCAGGAAUGCGUUGUCAGUGUGUAUAAAUACUGAUCCUCCACAAUCACAGUGCAAGCACAGAUUCAAGCUGCAAGUGGAAACUGAAGCCUGGAGAACAUCAGCCAUCACUUUGAUCUGUGUCUGUUGGUUACCGUGCAACAACCAAAACAGCCAGAAUGCAUUAUUACGUUGUCCUCUUCGCUCUGCUCUCAGCCUGCGUGUUGGCCGAUGUCCAGCCUCAGUACUACUCCAUCUCCCCGGCCGUGGGCUCAGCAAGUGGCACAGAGUACAGCUUGACGGGACAUGGAAGGAUCACAGCUCUCAGAGUGUGGGACCAGAACGGCAACUACAUCCGAGGCUUCCAGUUCCGUUACGGCUACA